UAAUACAUGCAAGUCGAGCGGACAGAUGGGAGCUUGCUCCCUGAUGUUAGCGGCGGACGGGUGAGUAACACGUGGGUAACCUGCCUGUAAGACUGGGAUAACUCCGGGAAACCGGGGCUAAUACCGGAUGGUUGUUUGAACCGCAUGGUUCAAACAUAAAAGGUGGCUUCGGCUACCACUUACAGAUGGACCCGCGGCGCAUUAGCUAGUUGGUGAGGUAACGGCUCACCAAGGCAACGAUGCGUAGCCGACCUGAGAGGGUGAUCGGCCACACUGGGACUGAGACACGGCCCAGACUCCUACGGGAGGCAGCAGUAGGGAAUCUUCCGCAAUGGACGAAAGUCUGACGGAGCAACGCCGCGUGAGUGAUGAAGGUUUUCGGAUCGUAAAGCUCUGUUGUUAGGGAAGAACAAGUACCGUUCGAAUAGGGCGGUACCUUGACGGUACCUAACCAGAAAGCCACGGCUAACUACGUGCCAGCAGCCGCGGUAAUACGUAGGUGGCAAGCGUUGUCCGGAAUUAUUGGGCGUAAAGGGCUCGCAGGCGGUUUCUUAAGUCUGAUGUGAAAGCCCCCGGCUCAACCGGGGAGGGUCAUUGGAAACUGGGGAACUUGAGUGCAGAAGAGGAGAGUGGAAUUCCACGUGUAGCGGUGAAAUGCGUAGAGAUGUGGAGGAACACCAGUGGCGAAGGCGACUCUCUGGUCUGUAACUGACGCUGAGGAGCGAAAGCGUGGGGAGCGAACAGGAUUAGAUACCCUGGUAGUCCACGCCGUAAACGAUGAGUGCUAAGUGUUAGGGGGUUUCCGCCCCUUAGUGCUGCAGCUAACGCAUUAAGCACUCCGCCUGGGGAGUACGGUCGCAAGACUGAAACUCAAAGGAAUUGACGGGGGCCCGCACAAGCGGUGGGAGCAUGUGGUUUAAUUCGAAGCAACGCGAAGAACCUUACCAGGUCUUGACAUCCUCUGACAAUCCUAGAGAUAGGACGUCCCCUUCGGGGGCAGAGUUG
rnacentral:rRNA from 1 species